AUGGUCCAGUGUAUGACAUACAAUCAUCAGCUUUCCUACAACACAGCCUUCAACAGAAAUAGGGUGUCCCAAGCCCCUGGCAAUAGAACUGUUUACCAACCAAGAAGGUUGGGAAAGGCACAAGAUUGGCAUGUGGCAUGUGCCCAGACAGACUUCGAGGGGUUUGUGCCGUGAGAUUUAAAGUUCUUAUAAUGCUGUCUACAAUGAAAAAAACAUGUCAGCAGGGCCUAUCGUGGUCCAAUGUGUGCUAAAUGAAUCCAUGACAGGAUCAAGGGUGCCUUCCUUAUCAAGAAGCAGAAAAUCAUUGUGAAAGUGUUGAAAGCACAAGCACAGAGUCAAAAAGCUAAA
rnacentral:lncRNA from 1 species